rnacentral:tRNA from 1 species
GCUCCCAUAUCUCAAUGGCAGAGAAGCGGCCUUAUAGCCCGCCUAGCACCAGAUUAGUGCGCAAUCCCUGUUCAAGUCAGGGUGGGAGUA